rnacentral:lncRNA from 1 species
UUUUACAAUUUACACGCUAUCUAAUAUGUUUAGAUUAACGUGUUCCUUCAAGUACUACUAGAUAAUGCAUGUCCGUACUGUGCACGGGCCCAACAGUUAAUAUUGUUGUGUUGAACAAAGUUUUGAAUUUGACAAUAAAAAACUCCAGAAAACCAAUAGACCAUUACCCAGCAAUGUGAAUUAUGAAGCGCAUCUGAUUUCCACUUGUACUUUGCCCAUAAAUGAGAAAAAUGGGUCAAUGACCAUCUUUGACAGACUGAGUCGCUAACUGAUCCAAUAAAUCACUUUUGAUAUCUCAACUCAAGUAGUCACCGCUCCAGAAUAAUGCUGUAAACAAACACAAAUUUUAUUUCAGCUAAAAGUAAUUUGGCUGGAUCAUCCAUUAAUAACAAAAUGCUAGAACAUAAAUAGUAGAACAAUGAUCACUAUUCAAAUUAAAAUAAAUAUAAAUAAAUAGCUGAGUAAUGGAAGUCGAAGAAAACCUGAAACUAUUGCAGUUUCCGCCAUUUUCGAAAUACAAAAAAAUCAAAGCCACCUUAUAUGAAAUAAUAUAAACUCAAAUUGUCCAAAGAAGUGCACACACAUAUGACCUGCUAUGUCAAAUGCAAGUAGGCGAUAAGGCUUGCUAAUUCAUCCAUCAAGACAGGCACAUAAUCUGCACAAGCAUGUUCACUACACCAUUCAGUUCCCUGAUUGCAUUAUGCACAUCUCUUUUGUCAAGAAAGUUUAAGAAGAGGGCAUCUUGCAACUGAAACACUUCAUAUAAAUUUGUGUUCAUGAACAGGAUUUGAAAAAUAUUACUUUAAGGGAUGUAUAGCAGUCAAAUUUCAUAAAUAAUUGGCUCUAACGUUAGCUGCAACUGAUAACUAAAACUCAUAAACCUCCCCUUAGUUACAUCUCAUAAAUUCAAUUUUUUUCAGACACAAAAUUUAAUAUUCAUGAAUGCCAGGUAGUGCAAAGGUGAAUUUACCAGAUUAAUUUUCUGUUUGACAAAUAGAGAAAGCUUAAUAUUGUUAUAGAUGCAGAAACAAACUUUAUUCAUCAUGUUAUCACAUAUGCCUAGAAAUAAUGCACAUAUUGCAGUUUACUGUCAUUUGGUCAUUUGGUAAUUUUUUUAGAGGAAUUGCAACUACUUGCUAGAAUUCUACAACCUGUUUGGUGGUAGUCUCUUGUUCUAGAGAAAUACACAAAAAGUCCUUUCAAAGCUAACUUCUUUUAUGACUAUCACAUAGAUGAGAAAAUAAUGCACAUGAAUUACAAUCGACUUCUAUUUGGCAGGUUGUUACUUUUAGAAAAUACUUACACAAGUAUUUAUUAGUAGACUUGUAUAAGCAAUUGAUUGUAAAAAAAGAGUAGUCUGGUGCACUAAGCUCCCACUACGUGCGAGGUCCGGGGAAGGGUCGGACCACAAGGGUCUAUUGUACGCAGCCUUGCCCUGCAUAAACUUAUAACAAAAUGUAAUCUCCCAAAAGCUACUUUACACUUUUAACCUGCAACAAGUUGAUUUAUGUUAAGACGACACUGUAAGCUAAACAGUAUGAUAGUUUCACUCAUAUCUAACUAAUUCAAAAUGUCUUUAUGCAUUCCUCCUAAUUGUAUCUCAAACCUAAACCAUAAUUCUGUUUCCUUUUUUUAUAUGUAACACCCAGUAUAAUUUCAUUUACUUUUGAAAGAGGGAAUGCAACAAUAAGUUUUUCGAAAGGAGAAUAACUGUAAGAUAUCCAUUUAUUCUAUAAAGAGCAAUAGCAUAGUGAGAAUGAACAUUCUGUUCCACUUUAUUUCCUAAACUGUUACACUAUCGAUUCUGAAAGAAUAAUUACAAUCUGUCAAGGACAGCAAAAAACCAAUCUCUCAAAAUAAAUAGAGCAAACGAAAAAGAGUCAACUAAGUCAGUGAAUUAUAAAAGUACUUUCUUGUAAUUCUGAAUAAGCAAACUGUGAGUUCUUCAUUUUAUCUAUAUGUUGCUACAAAAAAUAGAUAAAUCUUUUUUGGGAUAAAGUUGAGAAACAAGUAAAUUCACCUGUCAAGGUUGGAGAUUGGCAUGUGUUUUAGCUGUUUAGAGGAAAAGCAAACUCACAGAGAAAGACUUCAUUGCUGCAAAGCAAAAGGUAAAGUUAAAUAUUAAGAAGUUAAUUUACAGGCUUAAAUGGCUUGACUUGUCACCCCUCUGUUGCUCUCCAGAAAGUCAAAUUUCCUGAAAAUUUAGUAAAUAAUAGAAGGUACGCUCAUAUAGACUCUUGCUAACACAAGAAAAUUGAUAAUUUAAAUCAGGAAUAGAUGUUCUAGCCUCAAUACUUCUUGUUAAGGAAUAGAAUGCGACAACUCCAGUAAAAGGUGAGCAAAGCACUACAAAUUGAGCCUUAAAAAAAAAUCACUACCAAUGGAUGUACCUGCUUCCCCCGCCUAAUAGCAAGAAAGAUCAGAUGAAGCUGCUGAAUUUUAUAUUUAUUUCGUGAUCUCACUAUACAUAGACAAUAGGAGGGGAGGGGAAGCUAAACCCACAAACACAUCGCCUAGCGGUCCAUGGAGUAUGUAUCUGAAACUACUGACAAAGAAGCUGUGGGUCAGUUUUCUUGAAGAAGAAAAACACACCUCGAGCCGACCUUCCUUGCCAAACUUGGGUCUAGUAUGAGUUGAUAAGCUCAACAAGACUGAAGAUUUUAAUUCCAAAGCAACAUUAACAUUAUAACAACCCACCCCCACCCCCAACCACUUUCCUCCUUACCAUUUUCACAUAGUUGCAGAGCCUUUCACACUGCAACACCAAAAAACAGGGAAUCUCGGGGCUUGGAGAUUAUUAGAGCUAGUUACUUUCACAUUUGACAUAUUUAAUUGUGUAAUUGGAGAUGCCCACACAUGCAUUAAGCAUCUCAUUUCUUCAAUCUUCCGAUCCUGCAUCUUAUGAUUAGUGAUGAAGUCAGCAGCGGGUUAUUAAAAUGGUCUAGGAGCUGAAAACAGUGUGAGAUCUUUUGUAACAAUAUAAUACCUUUUCCACUUUGGGAGGAACACCCCAAUUAAAAAACACAAAUUGUUCCUCCGCCAAUCCAUGAUUUAUGACCCUUAAUUUUUGUUACUCCAACAUCUCUCUGAGCAAUUCCACACUUCUUUUGUUAAUGUCACCACCUCUUAGCACUGUUGUUAAUCUGGGGUACAAGGUUGGAUAAUCCAGGCUACCAGGCAUAUCCUACAUAAAUAAAAACUCAAAUAUCAAUGU